rnacentral:rRNA from 1 species
CGCCUACGGGGGGCAGCAGUGAGGAAUAUUGGUCAAUGGCCGAGAGGCUGAACCAGCCAAGUCGCGUGAGGGAUGACGGCCCUACGGGUUUUAAACUCCUUUUGCCGGGGAGCAAAGAGCGCGACGCGUCCCGCCUCGAGAGUACCCGGAGAAAAAGCAUCGGCUACCUCCGUGCCAGCAGCCGCGGUAAUACGGAGGAUGCGAGCGUUUUCCGGAUUUAUUGGGUUUAAAGGGUGCGC